GACGGCGCGCGCCAGCGACUCUAC
rnacentral:miRNA from 1 species